rnacentral:lncRNA from 1 species
UCACACACCAAAGUUUAUGUACAGAUCACAUAGCAACCAAACACACACAUCCAUGCUAUAGAGGGAUUCAAUCUAUCAGAAGAUUCUUAAUCAGAAUACACACUACAUCAAAUUCAAAUACAUUUUAAACGUGUAUAUAUAUAUAUAUAUAUAUAUAUAUAUAUAUAAAGUCUAUUUGCCUAAAAUGGAUUUGAUCCACCAAAUGCCUUUGGUGUCUUGGGAUCCUUCUUCUGCCCCUGGUGGUGGCGGAUCACUCUGUGGAGUCUUGUGGAGUUUGCUCACAUCAUAUCCUUCGUCAAUGGCUUUCUGAACAAGAAAAUUGUAGAUAUCUUCAUCCAAAUGGGUUUUUCUGCAUAAAAUCUACAAUUCAUAAUUCACCAACGUUAGCUCAGCAAAAUCAAAUUAACACCAAGCUUUUUAAACUAACUGUAGCAGCAAUGCCAACACAUAACUUUCAACUUAUCAGUAUCAGUUUGCAGUAACAUUCUGAAUUGGUAAAGCUUCAACCUCAGUAAUGUCUUGAAUUCAAGACCCAUUACUCAAAACAAGAAUACCCCAUUUCCCAUUCUUCUCAAUAUUCAUUUAAAGAUAAAAAAACAUAAAUCUUUGACAAAACUUUAUCCUCAUUGUUUCUCUUUCAAAUACAAAACCACCUUUUCAGCACAAAACCCUCUGUCAUAGAACUUUAUGCUCGGAACUAAUACUGUCCAAUAUUAAACACAUUUUUUAUUUCCUAAUGUGGAUUUUGAAGAAACCAGUUACCAAGCAAAUCAUGGAAAAAAAAAAAGGGUCGAGGAAGAUUAUGGUUUUCGCUUUUACAUUCGAAGAUCAGCCUAAGAUCAUCACAACAACCACCUUCAAAUAUAAAGAAAAAUCACAAGAGUUUUGCAAAGUUAAAUACAAACUUAAAAUGAUUCGUACUAUCGACUUAAUAUAGUUACUAACACCAUAUCGAUCAGCAGAACACAGUAGAAAAACAGAGACAAGAAAAAAAUAAAUAGCAACAGAAGUUAAAUAGGUUUACUUACCCAAAGGUAAUUCCUGCUUGGUUGGCCGAUCAAAGCAUACUGAUAAUCGUCAUCAAUGUAGAGGACCCAGUAGUCCCCAGUGACAGGGAAGAGGGGCAAGAAAGGUGGAACAUAGAAUUUUACCUUUAACUUGGCUUCGUCAGAUUUUGGGUCUGCCUUGUAAGCAGUACCCUCUAUAUAGCCUCUCUUUCCAUUAGACCAAGUCUCGUUGAGUACAUGCACAGUACCAUCUUUGUUAAGGGUAUAUGUGGCUCUGCUGUUCACACCAUCCUUUGGCUGAUUACGCGAAGGGAAUGAGCCAAUCUCGUACCAUCGACCCAUGUACCUUUCCAAGUCCAAACCUUUCACAACUUUCAUCUCUUCCUUCGCCAUUACCACCUUAUAAUGGGAAGUAACACGACACAGAGAUCAAACAAACGAUGAUUUUCUGGGUACUCUCAAGUUGUGCCCUUUUAUGAAGUUUCUGAUAAGUGUGUCUAUACAUACAUUCGACAGAG